CUUAAAUUGGCAGAAGUAAUGUGAGAAGUUUAGGACUUUUUUAUAAAUUAAAAUUUAUUUAAGC
rnacentral:tRNA from 1 species